GGCUCAGGACGAACGCUGGCGGCGUGCUUUACGCAUGUAAGUCGGACGGUGCCGCAAGGCACAGUGGCGAACGGCUGAGUAACACGUGAGUGACCUGUCCCGGUGUGGGGGAUAGCCGCUCGAAAGAGUGGGUAAUACCGCGUACGGUGUUUGGGGUAGAUCCUAGACAAGAAAGCAGAGAUGCGCACUGGGAGGGGCUCGCGGCCCAUCAGGUAGUUGGUGAGGUAACGGCUCACCAAGCCGAUGACGGGUAGCUGGUCUGAGAGGAUGAUCAGCCAGACUGGGACUGAGAUACGGCCCAGACUCCUACGGGGGGCAGCAGCGGGGAAUAUUGCACAAUGGGCGAAAGCCUGAUGCAGCGACGCCGCGUGAGGGAAGAAGGUCUUCGGAUUGUAAACCUCUUUUGUCGGGGAAGAUGAUGACGGUACCCGGCGAAUAAGCCCCGGCUAACUACGUGCCAGCAGCCGCGGUAAUACGUAGGGGGCGAGCGUUGUCCGGAUUUACUGGGCGUAAAGAGCGCGUAGGCGGUUUGGCAAGUUGGCUGUUAAAUACCUGGGCUUAACCCAGGCAGGUCGGCCGAGACUGCUGGACUUGAGGGCGGUAGAGGAAGGUGGAAUUCCGGGUGUAGUGGUGAAAUGCUUAGAGAUCCGGAGGAACACCAGUGGCGAAGGCGGCCUUCUGGGCCGUACCUGACGCUGAGGCGCGAAAGCGUGGGUAGCGAACUGAAUUAGAUACUCAGGUAGUCCACGCCCUAAACGAUGGACGCUAGGUGUAGGGGGUAUCGACUCCUCCUGUGCCGAAGCUAACGCAUUAAGCGUCCCGCCUGGGGAGUACGGCCGCAAGGCUAAAACUC
rnacentral:rRNA from 1 species